GGUGUACUUGUGUUGGUGUUCCAUAGCAUGGACUUCUUAUAUGAUUCUGGCCAACCCUUAUCUCAUCAUCAAUGUCAUGGUUUCAGAGCCAGACACAUUUCAAUUCAUUGUUUCUGAUGUUGACCUAUACUUCUUUUUGUUUCACAAAGAAUGAUCUGGUUUAACUUUGACACGAAGUUAAAGAAUAUAAAAAAUACUUUUGAAUCUUGUAAUCCUAAAUUAAAGUUAGGUCAAAUAUACAAAAUUGUCCUUUGAUCUUGUAGUCUUAAACAUGC
rnacentral:misc_RNA from 1 species